CACUUUUAUCAUUUUUUUUCUUAAGAUUUAUUUAUUUGACAGAGAGAGAGAGAGAAAGAGAGGACAAGCAAGGGAAGCAGCAAGGAGAGGGAAAGGGAGAAGCAGGCUCCCCACUGAGCAGAAGCCCAAUGCAGAGUUCAAUCCCAGGACCCUUGGAUUAUGAGCUGAGCUGAAAGCAGAGGCUUAAGGGAUUGAGCCACCCAGAUAAGAGGGGAAGAAAAGAAAGAAGUUAAAGACACUUCUGAUCACAGUGCUCUCUUAGCCUUUGUAUACAUAUUACAAGGGAAAUCAUCAUUCUAAUUAUGCUGGUAAGGACAUUGAAGUUCAGCAAGAGUAAAUAAUUUUUCUUGGGCAUGCAAGAUGCGGGUAAAUGCCUGGAGUCUUAGAAGACAGCUCUGUCUACUACAAAAUAUCAAAUCUAUAUCUCACACCCGACUUUAUAAGACAACAACUAAGACAUUUGAGCACAACAAUAACAAGUCAUACGGGC
rnacentral:lncRNA from 1 species